GGGUUGUGAGGUUAAGCGACUAAGCGUACACGGUGGAUGCCCUGGCAGUCAGAGGCGAUGAAGGACGUGCUAAUCUGCGAUAAGCGCCGGUAAGGUGAUAUGAACCGUUAUAACCGGCGAUUUCCGAAUGGGGAAACCCAGUGUGACUCGUCACACUAUCAUUAACUGAAUCCAUAGGUUAAUGAGGCGAACCGGGGGAACUGAAACAUCUAAGUACCCCGAGGAAAAGAAAUCAACCGAGAUUCCCCCAGUAGCGGCGAGCGAACGGGGAGGAGCCCAGAGCCUGAAUCAGCAUGUGUGUUAGUGGAAGCGUCUGGAAAGGCGCGCGAUACAGGGUGACAGCCCCGUACACAAAAGCGCAUGUGUUGUGAGCUCGAUGAGUAGGGCGG
rnacentral:rRNA from 1 species